UAUUUCUGCCUUUAAAAUUUCGUCAUAUUAAAUUAUCCGAUCAAAUGAUUCUUUCACUAAUAUGAAAACAGAUUAUUCGAGAUUGCUAAAGGUUUUUUUGACAAGCUGCAAGCCAAAGUCAUCACAUUAUUAUACGAUAAAUUCGAAUUUGAAACUAAUUCAAAAACAAUAUAAGGAGGUAGAAAAUUACCAACGAUACUCGUAUGUUGGAUAAAUAAAGAUAAUAAUAAAGCACAUCAGACAUUAAAUCGAAAUUUGAAAGCGAAAAGAACGCAACUUACAUGUUUACAACGCACUUAAUGUAAUAAUGUACCGCGUUCAAGCAGGUGGCCGGACAUGCAUUGUCAUAGCAACGUAAUAAAUUACCAUAAACCAUGCCAUUUUUCCUCUAUUACAAGACAAUAACGCUAAACGAGAUGUCGAUUGAACGGGGAUUCAAUAAACACCGCAGUUUAGGAAAAUUCGCGUGGUGUUAGUAAAUGGAAAUAACCAGUAAUUGUCAUUCGGGAGAGUCCCUGAGCAAUGAACGGAGUCGAGAAGUUUUGAAGCCCGACCACAGAUUGUUAGUAAAAAAUAAAUUGUUUUAUGAA